rnacentral:rRNA from 1 species
CCAUCCAGCGAACUUGGCAGAGAUGCCUUGGUGCCUUCGGGAACGCUGAGACAGGUGCUGCAUGGCUGUCGUCAGCUCGUGUUGUGAAAUGUUGGGUUAAGUCCCGNAACGAGCGCAACCCUUAUCCUUUGUUGCCAGCGAUUCGGUCGGGAACUCAAAGGAGACUGCCGGUGAUAAACCGGAGGAAGGUGGGGAUGACGUCAAGUCAUCAUGGCCCUUACGAGUAGGGCUACACACGUGCUACAAUGGCGCAUACAAAGAGAAGCGACCUCGCGAGAGCAAGCGGACCUCAUAAAGUGCGUCGUAGUCCGGAUCGGAGUCUGCAACUCGACUCCGUGAAGUCGGAAUCGCUAGUAAUCGUGGAUCAGAAUGCCACGGUGAAUACGUUCCCGGGCCUUGUACACACCGCCCGUCACACCAUGGGAGUGGGUUGCAAAAGAAGUAGGUAGCUUAACCCUCGGGAGGGCGCUUACCACUUUGUGAUUCAUGACUGGGGUGAAGUCGUAACAAGGUAAGCGUAGCGAG